rnacentral:lncRNA from 1 species
CUGGGGUCUUUUCAAAUCGAGGUGACUCGAAAAUUUUUUUUCAGAAUUCCCACUGGAGCAUUGCUCUAGGUACGGCAUAAUAAUGAUUCUGUCAAUUGUCAGCCACCUGCCAUGAUGAGUGGGACACACGGCAAUUGCAGAUCGACCAAAAGAGAUCUGCAAUCAUCAUUACGCCAGACCCUGAGGCCUAUUUAAACCCAUCC